AGCGUUAUCCGGAUUUAUUGGGUUUAAAGGGUGCGUAGGCGGCUUAUUAAGUCAGGGGUGAAAGACGGUGGCUCAACCAUCGCAGUGCCUUUGAUACUGAUGAGCUUGAAUAUACUAGAGGUAGGCGGAAUGUGACAAGUAGCGGUGAAAUGCAUAGAUAUGUCACAGAACACCGAUUGCGAAGGCAGCUUACUAUGGUAUUAUUGACGCUGAGGCACGAAAGCGUGGGGAUCAAACAGGAUUAGAUACCCUGGUAGUCCACGCCCUAAACGAUGAAUACUCGCUGUUAGCGAUAUACAGUUAGCGGCUAAGCGAAAGCGUUAAGUAUUCCACCUGGGGAGUACGCUCGCAAGAGUGAAACUCAAAGGAA
rnacentral:rRNA from 1 species